GCUAGAGAGGACAGUCGAGCUGCCUCGGCACUGUUUUGGGAGAGAUGCCAUGGAAAGAGGCUUCAUGCAACCCUCCCCAGCUCGCUGAAUUUUGGCAUCACUGUACAAGGCCUGUGUGAGAGCAUUGCAGCAGACUGUGACAAGGUGAACUACAGUGAUAGCCCUUCCCAACUCAGCUUGUAUCUAGGUUUUGCAGCAGUCUCGCUUGCACCCAUUUGAAGCUGUCAGACCCUCCCUUCAGGUCUCCAACUGCCAUCCGAGAGCUGGGGCUUGAUUUCAGCAUGCACAUACCAGCCAGACUCCUCCAGCCUUCCCACCUCAGAGUUUGAGCGGCCACACAACCAUGAGAGAAGAUUUACCUGGUCUUCACAAACCCUUGUAGAAAACUGCUGUUCAGCACCCCUGUGCACCUGAUGUGAAGGCAGAUGGAAGCUGUUCCCAGGCACAACCUUCAUCCUUGGCCAUCACCAUUCCUUUCAAGGAAAAAUGUGAAUGCCAACAAGGACGUUAAGAAAAAAAAAAAGUACAAACUACUGUUUUUUAAAUUUCUUAACGUGUUUUCUUUAAAAAAUGCAGAGCUUCAUCCCUACUGCUGUUAGUAUGAAGAAGAGAAACUGAUGAAAGCCACAGUAGAUUUGCUUCAUUGGAUAACAUAAUACAUCAUUCAAAAGAGUCAAGUCCCAUGCAGACCUGUUACACCUCUUCACGUCCAGACAUUUUAAAAUAUGGGAUGGAAGUGGGACUUCUCCAGGCCUCUCAUGCCUCAUGGACACCCUAUGAGGAACAUGGUUUAUUCCCCAUUAUGCCAAAGGAGACAGACCCACCCUGAGCUGGCACUGAAUCGAUGGACUCUGCUUCAGGCGUGCUCAUCACCUCUGUGUUUUGGUGGAACAGUCCUUGGUGCAAGCAGCUCAUUGAUGAUUGAACUGGAAUUGGUGCGUGCAGCACAGAGCCAAGCUCGACUCUGCCUCCAGCUCUUCACUGUUAGCCAACCUUGCUGUGACCACAGGCUGGGACCAGUACCAGUCCAGAAUUGCUUGUCUUAAUCGCAGCUAUUUUAGUGGAGACUACAGCUUCCGUGGGAGUAAAUUGUCAGGAUUUGGGAAAUGCCAAACAGAAUCAACUGAAAAAGUAAAAAUCUUUUUGUUGGCAUCCCUACACCACGAUUUUGAUGUUUGAGAAGCCUUUUCCUCUCACUUACACCCAAAGACAGUCGAUGCAUUAAAAGCACAGCUUUGCUCCAAAACAGUCAAUUCUGGAUUUGCAUAGUACUUUAUUAUUUUUAAGAGAAACUGGCUUACUUCCAAAUUAAUACACCACAGGCUGAAUGAGCUAAAUUUAAA